rnacentral:misc_RNA from 1 species
AAGAUUCCACAUGGAUGUGCGCCUUGGCUGCACUCCAUAACACCUCACACACUGUGCACUUCGGGGGCUUAGGCCUCCGCUUUCAUCAUACCACAUAACCAGAAUGUCUUUACUAUAAACAAAUA